rnacentral:rRNA from 1 species
GACGAACGCUGGCGGCGUGCUUAACACAUGCAAGUCGAACGGUGAUGCUCCAGCUUGCUGGAGUGGAUCAGUGGCGAACGGGUGAGUAACACGUGAGCAACCUGCCCCAGACUCUGGAAUAAGCGCUGGAAACGGCGUCUAAUACUGGAUACGAAACUGGCCCGCAUGGGCAUGGUUUGGAAAGUUCUUCGGUUUGGGAUGGGCUCGCGGCCUAUCAGCUUGUUGGUGAGGUAAUGGCUCACCAAGGCGACGACGGGUAGCCGGCCGGAGAGGGCGACCGGCCACACUGGGACUGAGACACGGCCCAGACGCCUACGGGAGGCAGCAGUGGGGAAUAUUGCACAAUGGGCGAAAGCCUGAUGCAGCGACGCCGCGUGAGGGAUGACGGCCUUCGGGUUGUAAACCUCUUUCAGCAGGGAAGAAGCGAAAGUGACGGUACCUGCAGAAGAAGCACCGGCUAACUACGUG